AUGACGUCACCCCAGUUCACGCGUGGGCUGGACAAAUGCCGGGUGUCAGCCAUACAACCAACGAUCAUCUGCGUGUUGGAACCCGUCCUUAAAACCAGGUUUGGCAUUGAAGGAUGCAAAAAGAUAAAAGCCUAAAUAUUAGGGCAGACUUUUUGAUCUGUGGGCCGCUGGAUGGGCAGGCAGCCUCUCCCAGGCUCAUCGUAGAGUAGCCAUGACUUCCACCCAGAAGUCGUAGAUUGAAAUCCCCUUCCGGCUGUUCCUUGAGAUGGGCCGUUAAUAUUUUGCUCUCUCCAGCCCUGUUUCUGCAACCUGCCAAGGGCCGGUUCAUGACACACCGCUGAGUCUCUGCUCUGUGCCAUGGCAACCGAGCCCGGAGGUGGAUUGCGGCAUCUCAGGUGAGGCAAAGGUGGGAGAAGACUCCUUGACUACUCCCGGUGGAAACCCUGCUCCUUCAACAUUCCUGCUCUUGAGUAGGCAGGGAUUUGACUUUCUGGCUUCCUGUGUUUCGGAUUUGAAGGCUUACGUGGGCCUGAGUUUGUUUUGCUCCAUUGAAGGGGAUUCACUGUGCCUUGCUGGCGCAGUGGUAAGAGUGCAGUACUGCAGGCGACUUCUGCUGACUACCGGCUGCCUGCAAUUUGGCAGUUCAAAUCCCACCAGGCUCAAGGUUGACUCAGCCUUCCGUCCUUCCGAGGAUUUUGGGGCCCGAACAAUUCAGGUUAAAAGCACUCCCAUCUGCAUCUGAAUUAGAAUUCUUUUGUGCAAAUUUUCCUUCUCUACGCCAUCUGAUCUGGAGGACCUGAAUCCGAAGAUUCAUCUGCUUCAUUAAAUUAGAACUGGGUCAGGACAAGAAAGCACAAUACUUCAACCCCGAGAUGUUGUCGGGAUCUCUGUCUAUGGACUAACUUCCAUUCCAGUGUCAAAGUUCAUUCCAGAAGUCAAAGUCAACCAGAGAAGGACACCAGAAGACCAGAAAAUCAACUGGUUGAUACAAAGAUUCAUGAGCUGGAAGAAGAGGGCAUGACGAAGGGGGAGGGGGAAAUAGGUGUUGUGUCAGUGUGUGUCUGUUGGUUUAUGAAGCAAUUUGUGAGGGCACCUAAUUUACCAUAGGAAAAUCUGCUGGGAAUUUUUUGAAGCAUCUGGACCAACUUCAUUUCCUUUUGCUGUUUUCUUUGCCAUCUGCUGGACAUUCAGUUUACUGCAAUGCAAUUUUAAUCGUUGAAGGCAGAGUUUUUCAAACUUGACAAUUUUAAGAUGUGUGGCUCUCAAUCAUUGUCCAGAAUUCUGGGACUUAAAGUCUUAAAGAUGUCAAGUUUGAAAAACGCCGAUUGAAGGGGAGAGAGGGAAUGCAGAUGUUGGUUUGAGGAAGCACAGCGCCAAAAUUUUGCAUUCAAUUUUGCAGUGCGACUCUUUUUCAAAUCUGAAAUGUCUACUUCCAUCAGUGAAAAAGCAAUAGGUAUCCCACCAGAAUGCCGAAAGAGACAUUAAUAAGACUAUAGUUUUAAAAAUGCUGUGUGUUUGAAGGUGUAUUUGGCUUCCACCUGCCUCCCUCCAGCUUACUUUAUUUCUAGUUGAUUCUAGGAACAAAGCUUGAAGACUUUCAGCAAGACUAUGAAGCAAUCCCAGAAGGGAUCCUUGUUGUUAAAAUAUGGAGCGUCUACCGCGAUAGUAUCAGAAAUACUGACAUGAGCUAUAAUUUGUUUGGAAAGACUGUUGUGUCAACAAUGACACUUGAUAGUGGAAUGUUUGUACUCACAAUGGCAUGGAGUUUGAAAGAGAAAUUGUUCAAGAAUCUGAAGGAGACACUCCUUCUUCAAGUCAACCUUGACUCUUACUGAGUUGGAUGGCCAACCAUCUCCUUGCUAAGAAGAUGGAAGCGGUUUGCCUUGGUUUUCUUCUGGAUGCGAUCUUGACUUCCCAGCCUAGUUUCCUUUAUUUAUUAUGGAUUUAUGUCUUAAUUGAUUAAAAUUCCAAAACUGCUUGAUAGUUGAAGCUGUCUGGGCUGUUCACGAUACCAAAACAGUGUAGGAAACAAAAAUCUACUGAUAAAAUGCAAAAUAAAAAACCCCAUACCAUACAAACUCUAGACCAGAGGUCGCCAACCUUGGCCACUUCAAGACUUGUGGACUUCAAGUCCCAGAAUUCCUCAGCCAGCAAAGCUAGAAAUCAGUUGAAUAGUUAUCUUUGGGGGUAUCUGUGUAACAGCUACAUCUGUGGAAUUUUCUGGUAGUUUCUCACCUAAGUAGAAACCAGGCCCAGCUGUGUUUGGCUUUUGAGGAGACACAAGAGAUACCCAGCCCUAAAUCCCUAGCUUUCAAUGUAAGGCAGCUAUUAUGUAGGAAUAAAAAAGAACAACUCCAUUCAAUUUUCU